UGGGGAAUAUUGGACAAUGGGCGCAAGCCUGAUCCAGCCAUGCCGCGUGAGUGAUGACGGCCCUAGGGUUGUAAAGCUCUUUCACCCACGACGAUAAUGACGGUAGUGGGAGAAGAAGCCCCGGCUAACUUCGUGCCAGCAGCCGCGGUAAUACGAAGGGGGCUAGCGUUGUUCGGAUUUACUGGGCGUAAAGCGCACGUAGGCGGAUCUUUAAGUCAGGGGUGAAAUGCCGGAGCUCAACUUCGGAACUGCCUUUGAUACUGGAGAUCUUGAGUUCGAGAGAGGUGAGUGGAACUGCGAGUGUAGAGGUGAAAUUCGUAGAUAUUCGCAAGAACACCAGUGGCGAAGGCGGCUCACUGGCUCGAUACUGACGCUGAGGUGCGAAAGCGUGGGGAGCAAACA
rnacentral:rRNA from 2 species